CCUACCCUCCAGCCAAUCAGAGCGAGUGAGAUGUUUGUCUGUGUGAAAAUCAUGUGAUCGCCUCUGUCCGCGGGCGCAAUAUCUCUGCGAAUGAGGGUUAGCUGCUUUCGGAAGCAAACGGAAAAACUGCUACGGACCUGAGGCUGCGAUAGGCAGAGGUAAUUGCCACCAUCUUUAUUAGGGGCAGUGAUCUUCGGGACUCAUGCCGGAUCGCCAUAUUUAUAGGUGGCAACCUGCAGUGGAACGCAAGCGCAGCCUUUCUUGCUUGGGAGGGGAGAUUAAGACAAGAGAAAUGUUUGUUUUUGUUUUUGUUUUUCUGGACUUCUUUCCCAGACUGUGAGACACGGCGUGUAUUUCCUGGGAAGGACCUUUGACGCUGGCGGAGUACUGGCUUCAGGCAGUAUAAAUUGCUGCAAGUUAUCCGUUAGAUAUUUAAUGGAGGAGAAAUGCCGAAAACGUGUUCAGAACUGCAUGUUCAAAAACAAAGUUGCUGGAAAAGCUCAGUAGGUUUGGUAGCAUCUGUGAAAGGAAAAAAAAUAACGUUUCGGAUCCGCUAAUCCUUGCUUAGAACUUCAUGUUACCUGUUGCACUCUCACUGUAGGAAGUCCUGCUUUAAAUAUUAUGAUCUAUUAAAGCAUAUCCGUUUGCCCAGUAUUCAUAUGAUUGGGAUCAAAUCACUGAAAGUGCUCUGAGUCCCCUUGUGCUCCCUCGUCAAAUUUAUUAAUGUCUGACUUCCUCAGUCUGUAAUAAUGGGUGUAUUUUACCUCUGCAUCUUUCUGUGUGGGGGAGCAGGGUGCUUUUAAGAGGAGGAUUUAUACAUAACUAACAGAAACCAAGAGAAAUGUUUGCCUUUUCCAGACAAUCUUGUGUUUUCUGGAUUUCUGUCCAGGCCUGACCGUUAUUUGUCUCUUGUGGAUUUGCUUUACAGGAUAUUUAUUGAGAAUAAUUUGCAAACCAGGAUCCCAAUGCAAGUUCUCCAUUAAGCGGAGUGAUCAGGAUCUGAGUAUCAUUGACACUUAACAGUGAAAGGAAAGAGGUUUAACCAUUCUAUGCAUGGGAGAAUACUCCUGGACUCUUUUAUACCCCCCACAGGACCUUUUGUGAUCUAAUCCCGUAACAGUGUGAGCUGCUACAAUGCACGUGCUAGUAAAAGCAUAAGAGGACAGAUGAGAUGAGUGCAUGGCUGGAGCUAUAACUUAAAAGGUUUGGAUUCCUGAGGCAUUGAGACUGUUUGUUUGUUUCUGGGGAAGGUGGGACAUGCACAAGCUUGAACAAUUGUCCUGGGCAGAGCUGGGACAGAUAUUCUUGUUGAUGCUUUUGCUAGUUCCACUGGUGAGGAUUUAAACUCGUAUGACAGGGGAAUGGGAACCCAAGUAUAGCUUUAGCAGUAAAAGACUCAAAUCAGCAAAUGGGAUUUGAAAUUAGUUCAUGAUGUUGUCGGUGGCUGAAAGAUUAAAAGAAAGAAGGAUUAAUCAAGAUCAAAUCUCUUUUCAUACAUCAGUCCUGUGAUCCCAGGAAUUGGCCUGGUGAACCUUCUUUCCGAUCAUUCAGUAGCCAGGCCAUCCUUCCUCUGGAAAGGAGAACAAAGGUGCACACGACUCCAGGUGUGGUCUCACCAAGGCCCUUAUAGAAAGAUAUCCCUCUUCCUGUACUCGAAUCCUCUCACAAUGAAGGCCGAAAUAUCAUUUGCAUUCUUCACUACUUGCUGCUGCCUGUUUCCGAAAAGAGAAUAGGAGAGAAACACGGAACUAAAUGGGGUCAGACACUCGGGUAACAUUGUGUUCAACAAUGUCCCCAUUGUAUCGGUGCUGGCCACCAAGCACCUAUUGAAGCUAGGCCCGUUUUCUGGCACUCGGUGUGUAACCUGUAUUUUGGUGCAGUGGAUGAUCAUCUCAACACUUCUUCAAGAUUGCAAUGGUUCCUGCAUCUAUCACCAUUUCAGAUGCUGCCAGAUCUGCUGAGUAUCUCUAUCAUUUUCUGUUUUUAUUUCAGAUUUCAGGUAUUUUUCUGCAUCUUAGUCCUUCAGAAGGAUCAGAGGGUAUGGAGAGAAAACAGGAAUUGGAUUCAUUUUCAGAUGAAUAAAAUGCCUGCCCUUCAUGUCUGUCCAAACUCUAUCUCUUUUUGUAGUUUUGGGCAAACGCUGACUGUUUCCCUUCCCUGAAGGACAUUUAAUGAACCAGUUCAGUUUUACUGAUAAUCCAGCAGUGCCCCUCAGUGUUGCAUCCACAAUUGAUCAGAUUAAUUUCUGAGUUUGACAAUCUUUGUGUGUGUUCUUCUGGUUUCUCUCUCUCUCUCUACUUUUUUUUUCUUCAGUUUGAAAUUGUGAUUGCAUUCAGAGAAAUCAAACAAAACCACAUCCAGAUCUGACACUCAAUCUGUUUGUCGUAACCUAAUUAUCUCAGGAUUUUGAACAUUAAAGGAAGAAGCACUGUUCACACCAGGGAGAAAUGCGUAUUGUCUGUGUGUCGAAGAUUCUGUGAAGAUUCAUCUGAAAUGCCCAAACACCAGCACGGUCACACUGGGGAGAGACUGUGGAAAUGUGGGGAUUGUGGGAAGGGAUUUAUUUACCCAUCCCAGCUGGAAAUGCACCAACGCAGUCACACUGGGGAGAAACUGUUCAUUUGCUCUGAUUGUGGGCUGGGAUUCACUCAGUCAAGCAACCUGCUGAAACACCAACGAGUUCACAGUGGGGAGAGACUGUUCACAUGUUCCGAGUAUGGGAAGGGAUUUGCUCACUCAACCAACCUGCUGAGACACCAGCGAGUUCACUCUGGGGACAGACC